AUCAGAGGCCGUCAGUCCCAGAGGUCCAUGGACGGGCAGAGAUUCUGUCUGGGAAGCAGACUCAGGAAGAGGAGGAUGUGGAAGAUGUCCAGAGACCCUUUAGAUCUCUAAGAUGCACUUGCAGUUAAUGUAAGUAUAGAAGGAGCCGUCUGGUUGCUAGUCCAUGCAAAUCCUGUGUGCUCCAAGGUGACUCCAAGUGUAAUUGGCACCUGAUAUCCUUGUGAAGAUCCAGAUGUCUCCCUGUAGAGAAGUGAACCCACAGAUACACCCCAAGAGAUCACGUUCUGAUCAUCAUAAGCAGAAAGCUUUGGGCUCUCCUUUCAGAUCGACUCAAGGAUGCCAGAGGCUCGAACACUUCAAUGUCAAUGUCAAGGAUCCCACAUGGAAGAGGAGGUUAAGUGUUUCGGUGAGGCCUCUGGAGAGAAGCCUUCUCUCCCAAAUGAGAAGGACAGUGGUGGAAGAGCAACUUUCAUGAAACAACCUCCAAUAUAGCACAUGUUUGAAUUGAUUGCCCAGGAAACAAUAUGAAGAAAAAAUAGAAAGUUCCUCAUUGUUUUAUUAAAAUCUAUUCCAG
rnacentral:lncRNA from 1 species